rnacentral:rRNA from 1 species
GACGAACGCUGGCGGCGUGCUUAACACAUGCAAGUCGAACGGAAAGGCCCUGCUUUUGUGGGGUGCUCGAGUGGCGAACGGGUGAGUAACACGUGAGUAACCUGCCCUUGACUUUGGGAUAACUUCAGGAAACUGGGGCUAAUACCGGAUAGGAGCUCCUGCUGCAUGGUGGGGGUUGGAAAGUUUCGGCGGUUGGGGAUGGACUCGCGGCUUAUCAGCUUGUUGGUGGGGUAGUGGCUUACCAAGGCUUUGACGGGUAGCCGGCCUGAGAGGGUGACCGGCGACAUUGGGACUGAGAUACGGCCCAGACUGCUACGGGAGGCAGCAGUGGGGAAUAUUGCACAAUGGGCGGAAGCCUGAUGCAGCAAAGCCGCGUGCGGGAUGACGGCCUUCGGGUUGUAAACCGCUUUCGCCUGUGACGAAGCGUGAGUGACGGUAAUGGGUAAAGAAGCACCGGCUAACUACGUG